rnacentral:misc_RNA from 1 species
GCUGACACCCACCAUUACAAUCCCCGAGCUCUCUAUCAAGACCGAGCUGGGACCUUCAUCUUAUGAAACAAAGAGUAGGCAUCACUGUAAAUGGCAACAGCAUUUGACAAUACAGCGAGAACGAUCAUAAACACAGCCAAUAUCUUCUCCCAAUUUGCCGCAAUGCCAUGGCAAUCCCUGAGGACGAUGGCAGCAGGGAAGAUGAAACCGAUGCAAACCCCAGCAGUCGCACCGGUGAACUGAAAUGCAUCCCAUAUACUAGGGAUGAAGUUUGCAGCCGAGAAAAUAAGAAUAAGGAGCACCACUGUCAUCGAUGAGAACCUCCAAUUGUCUGAAUACAGAGGCUUUGCUGAGCAGAACAUAAG